rnacentral:rRNA from 1 species
ACGAACGCUGGCGGCAUGCCUAACACAUGCAAGUCGAACGCUCUCCGGAUCUAGGUCCGGGGGGGAGUGGCGCACGGGUGAGUAGCGCGUGGGAACCUGCCCUGUUGUGGGGGAUAACCGAGGGAAACUUCGGCUAAUACCGCAUAAGCCCCGGGGAGCGAUCUCUGGGGGAAAGAUUUAUCGCGACAGGAGGGGCCCGCGUCGGAUUAGCUGGUUGGUGGGGGGGUAACGGGCCUACCAAGGCGAUGAUCCGUAGCUGGUCUGAGAGGAUGAUCAGCCACACUGGGACUGAGACACGGCCCAGACUCCUACGGGAGGCAGCAGUGGGGAAUAUUGGACAAUGGGCGCAAGCCUGAUCCAGCAAUGCCGCGUGAGUGAUGAAGGCCUUCGGGGUUGUAAAGCUCUUUCGCCCGCGACGAUGAUGACGGUAGCGGGAGAAGAAGCCCCGGCUAACUUCGUGCCAGCAGCCGCGGUAAUACGAAGGGGGGCGAGCGUUGUUCGGAUUUACUUGGGCGUAAAGGGCGCGUAGGCGGCCUUGCUUGUCAGCGGCGGAAAGCCCCGGGCUCAACCUGGGAACGGCGCUUGGGACGGUGGGGCUGGGAGUUCGGGAGAGGAGAGUGGAUUCCCAGUGUAGAGGUGAAAUUCGUAGGAUAUAUGGGAAGAACACCGGUGGCGAAGGCGGCUCUCUGGACCGAGACUGACGCUGAGGCGCGAAAGCGUGGGGAGGCAAACAGGAUUAGAUACCCUGGUAGUCCACGCCGUAAACGAUGUGUGCUAGACGUGGGGAGCCUAGCUCUUCGGUGUCGCCGCAAACGCAUUAAGCACACCGCCUGGGGAGUACGGCCGCAAGGUUAAAACUCAAAGGAAUUGACGGGGGGCCCGCACAAGCGGUGGAGCAUGUGGUUUGAUUCGACGCAACGCGAAGAACCUUACCAGCCCUUGACAUGCCUCGUAUGGGUGGGAGAGAUCCCAUCCUUCGGUUCGGCCGGCGGGGACACAGGUGCUGCAUGGCUGUCGUCAGUCAGCUCGUGCCGUGAGAUGUUUGGGGUUAAGUCCCCGCAACGAGCGCAACCCUCGCCCUUAGUUGCCAUCAUUCAGUUGGGCACUCUAAGGGGACUGGCCGGUGAUAAGCCGAGAGGAAGGUGGGGAUGACGUCAAGUCCUCAUGGCCCUUACGGGCUGGGCUACACACGUGCAUACAAUGGUGGGUGACAGUGGGCAGCGAGACCGACGAGGUCGAGCUAAUCUCCAAAAAGCCAUCUCAGUUCGGAUUGCACUCUGCAACUCGAGGUGCAUGAAGGUUGGAAUCGCUAGUAAUCGCAGAUCAGCAUCGCCGCGGUGAAUACGUUCCCCGGGCCUUGUACACACCGGCCCGUCAACACCAUGGGAGUUGGUUUUACCCGAAGGCGCUGUGCUAACCGCAAGGAGGCCAGGCGACCCGGUAGGGUCAGCGACUGGGGUG